AGUGAACGCUGGCGGUAGGCCUAACACAUGCAAGUCGAACGGCAGCACAGUAAGAGCUUGCUCUUACGGGUGGCGAGUGGCGGACGGGUGAGGAAUACAUCGGAAUCUACUUUUUCGUGGGGGAUAACGUAGGGAAACUUACGCUAAUACCGCAUACGACCUACGGGUGAAAGCAGGGGAUCUUCGGACCUUGCGCGAUUGAAUGAGCCGAUGUCGGAUUAGCUAGUUGGCGGGGUAAAGGCCCACCAAGGCAACGAUCCGUAGCUGGUCUGGGAGGAUGAUCAGCCACACUGGAACUGAGACACGGUCCAGACUCCUACGGGAGGCAGCAGUGGGGAAUAUUGGACAAAGGGCGCAAGCCUGAUCCAGCCAUACCGCGUGGGUGAAGAAGGCCUUCGGGUUGUAAAGCCCUUUUGUUGGGAAAGAAAAGCAGCAGGUUAAUACCCCGCUGUUCUGACGGUACCCAAAGAAUAAGCACCGGCUAACUUCGUG
rnacentral:rRNA from 1 species